UAGGGGGCAAGCGUUAUCCGGAAUUAUUGGGCGUAAAGAGUACGUAGGCGGUUCUUUAAGCGCAGGGUAUAAGGCGAAGGCUUAACCAUCGUUCGCCCUGUGAACUGGGGGACUUGAGUAUCGGAGAGGAAAGCGGAAUUCCUAGUGUAGCGGUGAAAUGCGUAGAUAUUAGGAGGAACACCAGUGGCGAAGGCGGCUUUCUGGACGAAAACUGACGCUGAGGUACGAAAGCGUGGGGAGCAAA
rnacentral:rRNA from 1 species